rnacentral:misc_RNA from 1 species
GAUGAAGAACGUAGCGAAAUGCGAUACUUGGUGUGAAUUGCAGAAUCCCGUGAACCAUCGAGUCUUUGAACGCAAGUUGCGCCCGAAGCCAUUAGGCCGAGGGCACGCCUGCCUGGGCGUCACACGUUGUUGCCCCCCCAUCUACUCCUUCGGGAUUGCGGGGGGCGGAUGAUGGCCUCCCGUGCGCCUCGUCGCGCGGUUGGCAUAAAUGCCAAGUCCUCGGCGACGCACGCCACGACAAUCGGUGGUUGCGAAACCUCGGUUGCCCGUCGUGUGCGGUCGUCGCGCAUCGAGGGCUCGAAAAAAUUGCCGGGCUCCGGCUCGGCUUUCAACGCGACCCCAGGUCAGGCGGGGUUACCCGCUGAAUUUAAGCAUAUCAAUAAGCGGAGGA